rnacentral:rRNA from 1 species
GACGAACGCUGGCGGCGUGCCUAACACAUGCAAGUCGAACGAGGCUGAUCUGGUGGCAACACCAGUGACUGCCUAGUGGCGAACGGGUGAGUAACACGUGAGGAACCUGCCCCGAAGACCGGGAUAACCCUCCGAAAGGAGAGCUAAUACCGGAUACCCCCUUCUGAUCGCAUGAUCGGAUGAGGAAAUGGAUUCCGCUUCGGGAGGGCCUCGCGGCCUAUCAGCUAGUUGGUGGGGUAACGGCCCACCAAGGCAUCGACGGGUAGCUGGUCUGAGAGGACGAUCAGCCACACUGGGACUGAGACACGGCCCAGACUCCUACGGGAGGCAGCAGUGGGGAAUCUUGCGCAAUGGGCGAAAGCCUGACGCAGCAACGCCGCGUGGGGGAUGAAGGCUCUCGGGUUGUAAACCCCUUUCAGCAGGGACGAAUCAAGACGGUACCUGCAGAAGAAGCCCCGGCUAACUACGUGCCAGCCGCCGCCGUAAGAC